AGUACCUUUAAUUCAGUUCAGAGAAACUGGCAAGGUUUUCGGAAGAAAAUUAUAAAAGAUUGUAAUUUUGACGCAGUGUACAUAAAGUUGCCCUCAGUGUAGCUUUGUGUCUCUUGUUGCAAAUUCUAAACCCCUUGCAAAUUCUGCAAGGGGUUUUUCUUUU
rfam:Lactobacillus ceti DSM 22408 NODE_172, whole genome shotgun sequence.